rnacentral:misc_RNA from 1 species
AGUGAAUCAUCGAAUCUUUGAACGCACAUUGCGCCCGCCAGUAUUCUGGCGGGCAUGCCUGUUCGAGCGUCAUUUCAACCCUCAAGACCCCUGUGGACUUGGUGUUGGGGACCGGCGGCGCCUCUCUGGUGUCACCGCCCCCUAAAUGAAUUGGCGGCCUCGUCGCGGCCCUCCUCUGCGUAGUAGCACACACCUCGCAACAGGAGCCCGACGGCGGCCACUGCCGUAAAACGCCCAAACUUUUUUAGAGUUGACCUCGAAUCAGGUAGGAAUACCCGCUGAACUUAA